rnacentral:rRNA from 1 species
GAUCCUGGCUUAGGAUGAACGCUAGCGACAGGCUUAACACAUGCAAGUCGAGGGGCGAGCGCGGGGGUAGCCAAUACUCCUGGCGGCGACCGGCGCACUGGUGAGUAACACGUAUGCGACCUGCCCCGGACAGGGGGAUAAACCCGGGAAACUGGGCCUAAUACCCCAUACGCCCCGAGGAUGCAUGUCCUCCGGGUGAAAGAUCCGGUCGGUCCGGGAUGGGCAUGCGGCGCAUUAGCUUGUUGGCGGGGCAACGGCCCACCAAGGCGACGAUGCGUAGGGGUUCUGAGAGGAAGGUCCCCCACACUGGUACUGAGACACGGACCAGACUCCUACGGGAGGCAGCAGUGAGGAAUAUUGGUCGAAAUGGGCGCAGGCCUGAACCAGCCAAAGUCGCGUGCGGGAUGAAAGGCCCUCCGGGUCGUAAACCGCUUUAGCCGGGGAGUAACGCGUGGGACGCGUCCCACAGUGAGAGUACCCGGAGAAUAAGCAUCGGCUAACUCCGUGCCAGCCGCGGC